rnacentral:lncRNA from 1 species
AGUGUCUAACCCUUUGAGGCUUAUUGUCAAAGCUAUAGGAUAUCUACCUUGCAUGGUGGUUGUGAGUGAACAGCCGAUGCAGAAUGGACCCAGUGCUCAGUGGGUAGCUCUCUCCCACUGAAUUUUUUUUUUUUUUUUUUGGUCUCAGAAUGGCACUAUUGUCGGCUUAGCUCCCUUUGGAUCUUAGUGUCUUCAGUCUUCUUUCUUUUUUUUUCUGUACCCUUAUUAGAAGUGAAGGCUAAUCCUCAGCCUUAUUAUUUAACUACUUGAUCCAGCUCAACACUGAGCACCAACUGAGAAAAAGCUGCUCUGCUAGAACAUCAGCUACCUGAGGAUCCUGGCCCACACUUUCCACUCCUCAGGGAUGCACCUUCCAAUGGAGAAAACAGAAAACCCCAUCGCCUUCCUGAGAAUGUACGGCCAACAGCAAGGCUGUGCAGGAUGUCGAGGUGGUUGGACAACAAUCCUUCAACUGCAUAUGGCAGGAGCUUUAACUUUGUUGCCCCUAGUCUCAACUGGGUCCUUAGGAGUACUGUUCCAUUCUUUUAUGCAUCCUUACCCAGCUUAAUUUUCCAUUUUCAUGGUGGCCAUGCCAAACCUUUGUUCCUCUUCUUAACUUGUUCUCAGCAAAGAAAAUGGAAGGCUUUUGGGCUCAUGCUCCUUCAAAUGUUUGCCUUCCCUGCAUGCAAACUUGUGUACUUUAUUUUAUUUUAUCUUUGAGACAGGGUCUCGCUCUGUCACCCAGGCUGGAGUGCAGUACAUGAACAUGGCUCACUGGAAUGAGGCGCUUCUUUAUGCCACCACUCACAACAACCACGGAAGGUAGAUCUCCUAUAGCUUUGACAACUAAGCCUCAAAGGGUCAGACACUUGGCCAUGACUUGUGUGUCUCUGCUCCUCCUGAGGGUCUGAUCCAGUCUCAAGACUAAAUUCCAUGAAUACGCUGAUGGCUCCUAGAUUCUAUCUCCUGCAUAGAUGACUCCCAUGCUGAAUUCUGGACACAAUUCCCAAAUGCGUAUGGCCUCUCUCAUAAGCCUCUCAGGACUUCACAUAUCACAGAGAAACUCCUGAUUCCACCCCAAAAUGUGUUGCUCCUGCAGCUGUCUCCAUUCUAGAGAUAGCUUCCACCUCCUGGGCUCAAUUGAUCCUCCCACCUCAGCCUCCUG